CCUACGGGAGGCUGCAGUGGGGAAUAUUGGACAAUGGGGGCAACCCUGAUCCAGCCAUGCCGCGUGUGUGAAGAAGGCCCUCGGGUUGUAAAGCACUUUCAGUGAGGAAGAACGCCUGGUGGUUAAUACCCAUCAGGAAAGACAUCACUCACAGAAGAAGCACCGGCUAACUCCGUGCCAGCAGCCGCGGUAAUACGGAGGGUGCGAGCGUUAAUCGGAAUUACUGGGCGUAAAGCGCGCGUAGGUGGCUUGAUAAGCCGGUUGUGAAAGCCCCGGGCUCAACCUGGGAACGGCAUCCGGAACUGUCAAGCUAGAGUGCAGGAGAGGAAGGUAGAAUUCCCGGUGUAGCGGUGAAAUGCGUAGAGAUCGGGAGGAAUACCAGUGGCGAAGGCGGCCUUCUGGACUGACACUGACACUGAGGUGCGAAAGCGUGGGUAGCAAACAGGAUUAGAUAGCCUGGUAGUC
rnacentral:rRNA from 1 species